GGGCCCUUAGCUCAAUUGGUCAGAGCGGUAGACUCAUAAUCUGCGGGUUAUAGGUUCAAGUCCUAUAGGGCCCACCA
rnacentral:tRNA from 1 species